UGUCCAGAUCACUUUGAAACACCGGCUCCCGUACGAUCGUCGAAGUUAAGCAAGGUCGAGCCUGGGCAGUAGCUAGAUGGGUGACCGUUUGGGAAUACCAAUGGCUGUAA